rnacentral:rRNA from 1 species
UACAGGGGGGGCAAGCGUUGUUCGGAAUUACUGGGCGUAAAGGGUCUGUAGGUGGCCAACUAAGUCAGACGUGAAAUCCCUCAGCUUAACUGGGGAACUGCGUCUGAUACUGGAUGGCUCGAGUGUGGGAGAGGAAUGCGGAAUUCCAGGUGUAGCGGUGAAAUACGUAGAUAUCUGGAGGAACACCGGUGGCGAAGGCGGCAUUCUGGACCAUAACUGACACUGAGAGACGAAAGCCAGGGGAGCAAACGGG